GGGAAACCGGGGCUAAUACCGGAUGCUUGAUUGAACCGCAUGGUUCAAUCAUAAAAGGUGGCUUUUAGCUACCACUUACAGAUGGACCCGCGGCGCAUUAGCUAGUUGGUGAGGUAACGGCUCACCAAGGCGACGAUGCGUAGCCGACCUGAGAGGGUGAUCGGCCACACUGGGACUGAGACACGGCCCAGACUCCUACGGGAGGCAGCAGUAGGGAAUCUUCCGCAAUGGACGAAAGUCUGACGGAGCAACGCCGCGUGAGUGAUGAAGGUUUUCGGAUCGUAAAACUCUGUUGUUAGGGAAGAACAAGUACCGUUCGAAUAGGGCGGUACCUUGACGGUACCUAACCAGAAAGCCACGGCUAACUACGUGCCAGCAGCCGCGGUAAUACGUAGGUGGCAAGCGUUGUCCGGAAUUAUUGGGCGUAAAGCGCGCGCAGGCGGUUUCUUAAGUCUGAUGUGAAAGCCCCCGGCUCAACCGGGGAGGGUCAUUGGAAACUGGGGAACUUGAGUGCAGAAGAGGAGAGUGGAAUUCCACGUGUAGCGGUGAAAUGCGUAGAGAUGUGGAGGAACACCAGUGGCGAAGGCGACUCUCUGGUCUGUAACUGACGCUGAGGCGCGAAAGCGUGGGGAGCGAACAGGAUUAGAUACCCUGGUAGUCCACGCCGUAAACGAUGAGUGCUAAGUGUUAGAGGGUUUCCGCCCUUUAGUGCUGCAGCAAACGCAUUAAGCACUCCGCCUGGGGAGUACGGUCGCAAGACUGAAACUCAAAGGAAUUGACGGGGGCCCGCACAAGCGGUGGAGCAUGUGGUUUAAUUCGAAGCAACGCGAAGAACCUUACCAGGUCUUGACAUCCUCUGACAACCCUAGAGAUAGGGCUUCCCCUUCGGGGGCAGAGUGACAGGUGGUGCAUGGUUGUCGUCAGCUCGUGUCGUGAGAUGUUGGGUUAAGUCCCGCAACGAGCGCAACCCUUGAUCUUAGUUGCCAGCAUUCAGUUGGGCACUCUAAGGUGACUGCCGGUGACAAACCGGAGGAAGGUGGGGAUGACGUCAAAUCAUCAUGCCCCUUAUGACCUGGGCUACACACGUGCUACAAUGGGCAGAACAAAGGGCAGCGAAGCCGCGAGGCUAAGCCAAUCCCACAAAUCUGUUCUCAGUUCGGAUCGCAGUCUGCAACUCGACUGCGUGAAGCUGGAAAUCGCUAGUAAUCGCGGAUCACAUGCCGCGGUGAAUACGUUCCCGGGCCUUGUACACACCGCCCCGUCACACCACGAGAGUUUGUAACACCCCGAAAGUCGGUGAAGGU
rnacentral:rRNA from 1 species